rnacentral:tRNA from 2 species
GGGCUCGUGGUCUAGAUGGUUAUGACGCCGCCUUCACGAGGCGGAGGUCGAGGGUUCGAAUCCCUCCGAGCCCA